GGCGGGGCGGCGUGCCUAAUACAUGCAAGUCGAACGCACAGCGAAAGGUGCUUGCACCUUUCAAGUGAGUGGCGAACGGGUGAGUAACACGUGGACAACCUGCCUCAAGGCUGGGGAUAACAUUUGGAAACAGAUGCUAAUACCGAAUAAAACUUAGUGUCGCAUGACACAAAGUUAAAAGGCGCUUCGGCGUCACCUAGAGAUGGAUCCGCGGUGCAUUAGUUAGUUGGUGGGGUAAAGGCCUACCAAGACAAUGAUGCAUAGCCGAGUUGAGAGACUGAUCGGCCACAUUGGGACUGAGACACGGCCCAAACUCCUACGGGAGGCUGCAGUAGGGAAUCUUCCACAAUGGGCGAAAGCCUGAUGGAGCAACGCCGCGUGUGUGAUGAAGGCUUUCGGGUCGUAAAGCACUGUUGUAUGGGAAGAACAGCUAGAAUAGGAAAUGAUUUUAGUUUGACGGUACCAUACCAGAAAGGGACGGCUAAAUACGUGCCAGCAGCCGCGGUAAUACGUAUGUCCCGAGCGUUAUCCGGAUUUAUUGGGCGUAAAGCGAGCGCAGACGGUUUAUUAAGUCUGAUGUGAAAGCCCGGAGCUCAACUCCGGAAUGGCAUUGGAAACUGGUUAACUUGAGUGCAGUAGAGGUAAGUGGAACUCCAUGUGUAGCGGUGGAAUGCGUAGAUAUAUGGAAGAACACCAGUGGCGAAGGCGGCUUACUGGACUGCAACUGACGUUGAGGCUCGAAAGUGUGGGUAGCAAACAGGAUUAGAUACCCUGGUAGUCCACACCGUAAACGAUGAACACUAGGUGUUUAGGAGGUUUCCGCCUCUUAGUGCCGAAGCUAACGCAUUAAGUGUUCCGCCUGGGGAGUACGACCGCAAGGUUGAAACUCAAAGGAAUUGACGGGGACCCGCACAAGCGGUGGAGCAUGUGGUUUAAUUCGAAGCAACGCGAAGAACCUUACCAGGUCUUGACAUCCUUUGAAGCUUUUAAAGAUAGAAGUGUUCUCUUCGGAGACAAAGUGACAGGUGGUGCAUGGUCGUCGUCAGCUCGUGUCGUGAAAUGUUUGGGUUAAGUCCCGCAACGAGCGCAACCCUUAUUGUUAGUUGCCAGCAUUCAGAUGGGCACUCUAGCGAGACUGCCGGUGACAAACCGGAAGAAAGGCGGGGACGACGUCAGAUCAUCAUGCCCCUUAUGACCUGGGCUACACACGUGCUACAAUGGCGUAUACAACGAGUUGCCAACCCGCGAGGGUGAGCUAAUCUCUUAAAGUACGUCUCAGUUCGGAUUGUAGUCUGCAACUCGACUACAUGAAGUCGGAAUCGCUAGUAAUCGCGGAUCAGCACGCCGCGGUGAAUACGUUCCCGGGUCUUGUACACACCGCCCCGUCACACACGGGGAGUUUUGUAAGGCCCAAACCCGGGGGGCUAUCUUUUUAAGGAGAACCCUUCUAAGCGGAACAUAAAAGGGGGGGGAUUCUCACUGGCCCUGAGCCAACCUGCCCUGGCCUUAGGC
rnacentral:rRNA from 1 species